rnacentral:rRNA from 1 species
AGUUGUAGAAUCACUGGUGAAUAAGGGGUGGGCAAGUUCUGGUGUCAGCCGCCGCGGUAAAACCAGCACCUCGAGUGGUCAGGAGGUUUAUUGGGCCUAAAGCAUCCGUAGCCGGUUGCAUAAGUUUUCGGUUAAAUCUAUGCGCUUAACGUAUAGGCCGCCGAAAAUACUGUGCAGCUAGGGAGUGGGAGAGGUACACGGUACUCGAUAGGAAGGGGUAAAAUCCUUUGAUCUAUUGAUGACCACCUGUGGCGAAGGCGGUGUACCAGAACACGUUCGACGGUGAGGGAUGAAAGCUGGGGGAGCAAACCGGAUUAGAUACCCGGGUAGUCCCAGCUGUAAACGAUGCAGACUCGGUGAUGCAUUGGCUUGUGGCCAAUGCAGUGCCGCAGGGAAGCCGUUAAGUCUGCCGCCUGGGAAGUACGUACGCAAGUAUGAAACUUAAAGGAAUUGGCGGGGGAGCACCACAAGGGGUGAAGCCUGCGGUUCAAUUGGAGUCAACGCCAGAAAUCUUACCUGGGGAGACAGCAGAAUGAAGGUCAAGCUGAAGACUUUACCAGACACGCUGGGAGGUGGUGCAUGGCCGUCGCCAGCUCGUGCCGUGAGAUGUCCUGUUAAGUCAGGUAACGAGCGAGACCCCUGCGUCUAGUUGCUACCAUUACUCUCUGGAGCAGUGGAGCGAAUUAGACGGACCGCCACAGUUAAUGUGGAGGAAGGAAGGGGCCACGGCAGGUCAGUAUGCCCCGAAACCCUAGGGCUACACGCGGGCUGCAAUGGUAUUGACAAUGUGUUCCGAAUCCGAAAGGAGGAGGCAAUCAUCAAACAAUAUCUCAGUUAUGACUGAGGGC